ACUUAAGCAUAUCAAUAAGCGGAGGAAAAGAAACUAACAAGGAUUCCCCUAGUAACUGCGAGUGAAGCGGGAAAAGCUCAAAUUUAAAAUCUGGCAGCUUUGGCUGUCCGAGUUGUAGUCUGGAGAAGCGUUUUCUGUGCUGGACCGUGUACAAGUCUCUUGGAACAGAGCGUCGUAGAGGGUGAGAAUCCCGUCUUUGACACGGACUCCCAGUGCUUUGUGAUGCGCUCUCAAAGAGUCGAGUUGUUUGGGAAUGCAGCUCAAAAUGGGUGGUAAAUUCCAUCUAAAGCUAAAUAUUGGCGAGAGACCGAUAGCGAACAAGUACCGUGAGGGAAAGAUGAAAAGCACUUUGGAAAGAGAGUUAAACAGUACGUGAAAUUGCUGAAAGGGAAACGAUUGAAGUCAGUCGCGUCGGCCAGAACUCAGCCUGGCUUUUGCCUGGUGCAUUUUCUGGUUGACGGGCCAGCAUCAAUUUUGAUCGCUGGAUAAAGGCCUUGGGAAUGUGGCACCUUCGGGUGUGUUAUAGCCCUUGGUUGUAUACAGUGGUUGGGAUUGAGGAUCACAGCAUGCCUUUACGGCCGGGGUUCGCCCACGUUCAUGCUUAGGAUGCUGGCGUAAUGGCUUUAAACGACCCGUCUUGAAACACGGACCAAGGAGUCUAACAUGCCUGCGAGUGUUUGGGUGGAAAACCCGAGCGCGCAAUGAAAGUGAAAGUUGGGAUCCCUGUCGCGGGGAGCACCGACGCCCGGACCAGACCUUUUGUGACGGAUCCGCGGUAGAGCAUGUAUGUUGGGACCCGAAAGAUGGUGAACUAUGCCUGAAUAGGGUGAAGCCAGAGGAAACUCUGGUGGAGGCUCGUAGCGAUUCUGACGUGCAAAUCGAUCGUCAAAUUUGGGUAUAGGGGCGAAAGACUAAUCGAACCAUCUAGUAGCUGGUUCCUGCCGAAGUUUCCCUCAGGA
rnacentral:rRNA from 1 species